rnacentral:rRNA from 1 species
UGGGGAAUAUUGCACAAUGGGCGCAAGCCUGAUGCAGCCAUGCCGCGUGUGUGAAGAAGGCCUUCGGGUUGUAAAGCACUUUCAGCGAGGAGGAAGGUGGUGAGCUUAAUACGCUCAUCAAUUGACGUUACUCGCAGAAGAAGCACCGGCUAACUCCGUGCCAGCAGCCGCGGUAAUACGGAGGGUGCGAGCGUUAAUCGGAAUUACUGGGCGUAAAGCGCACGCAGGCGGUUUGUUAAGUCAGAUGUGAAAUCCCCGGGCUCAACCUGGGAACUGCAUUUGAAACUGGCAAGCUAGAGUCUCGUAGAGGGGGGUAGAAUUCCAGGUGUAGCGGUGAAAUGCGUAGAGAUCUGGAGGAAUACCGGUGGCGAAGGCGGCCCCCUGGACGAAGACUGACGCUCAGGUGCGAAAGCGUGGGGCAGCAAACAGGAUUAGAUACCCUGGUAGUCCACGCUGUAAAACGAUGUCGAUUUUGGAGGUUGUGCCCCUUGAGGCGUGGCUUCCGGAGCUAACGCGUUAAAUCGACCGCCUGGGGAGUACGGCCGCAAGGUUAAAACUCAAAUGAAUUGACGGGUCUAGCUG